CUUUGACUAGGCCAUUCCAACACAUUUACAUGUUAAUUACAAGGUAAAACAAGAGGAAACAUAGCUAAGCACUAUAUAUGAACAGUAUGAGGAUUUAGUCACACUAUAUGAUCAUGCAUUGCACAAGCCUGCCAACAAUGCCAAUGUACCCCAUAUCUGGCAGGUCCUAAUGCAUGCUAAAACAGCCACACUAAACCACAAUAGCACUUACCUGCAAGAAAGGGCAGAGACAUGAAACACUGCUGCAGGUCCAAGCUGAAACAAAAGGAAAGUGGAAAAGAAACGGGUGUGGCAACAUAAAACAAACAUUUAAGUGAAUCCAAGAGACUGGGAAAUCCAGGGACAGAAUAUAAGAAUGAAC